UUUGCAUUCAUUAUUAAAUUCGCACUGGCGCCCAGUCGGUGAAUUCGUCUGUGAACGCACGCCAUAUCAAAGUGAACACGUUAACCCAUGUUAUACUAGCGUGGACACCGGCCUUACAGUGCACUGCACACACUGGUUAACUACAUAAUUGGUUGCAGCCACUGACAAUGUGUUGCUAUUAGAAAUUUAGUCGGCUGCACGUGCUCGUCCAAUAAUGUGUCAGAUGUUUCAGUAAAACACCUGUCGCCUGUCAACGGCAAUGGAUAGUCUAUAUAACUAACUUAGUCGGUGUGAUGUUAAGAUCUGUUGGUGCUUUACUGUUUGGGUAGGCUAUUGUAAGCUACGUGCCAGCAAGUACAAUUACGAUUUAGAGGAAAGGCAUUUGGUGGAGCUAUUGUUUGUAUAUCUGUUACUACACUUAUAGCUGCCAGUUUUUUCUGUGGUGAUUAUGAAGACCCGUCGCAUUAAAGUGAUGAAGCGAACAACUAAGCCAUGCCGACGAGAGAAGAGAAAAGCCAGGGCCUACUCCACUUACAUCUACAGACUUCAGAAGGAGGGAAACUCCCUGAGCAAGUGCAUCACCGUGCCCAAAUCUCUCUCCGGAGAAACGUUCGAACUUGUAGUGUCCGAAGCUGCACGCCUUUCAAAAUUCAACAAGCGGAAUGCCAUCACCCGCCAGGAGGUCCGCUGCGCUGUGCAAUCGCUACGCCCUAAAAUGAACUUUGGAAAGGAAGGCGCUUAAUGACUUGGGGGGGCCCUACUUGUUUUGCAAAGGUUUUGUAUGUAAUUUUAGCGAAUUUAAAUAAAUGUAUUUUAAUAAA